GACUCAAUUUCUUGUCUAGCAGAAUGGAGUGUCUUGUUUUGCACAUAAAAGCAACUCUCUUCUUUAUUAAUCAGUUGCCCUAAUUGCUUCGCAUAUACCGGAAGUGUUUCCAUAACUAGUUGAGACUUCUUCUCAGUAGUAACAAACGCAAUAGUAUCAUCUGCAUAAGAGAAGUGGUUAAUACUAUCACUCUAUUCGGGUAAAUCAAAGCUCCUGAACUCUUUGUUAAAUCAAAU
rnacentral:lncRNA from 1 species